UACAGAGGUCUCAAGCGUUGUUCGGAUUCAUUGGGCGUAAAGGGUGCGUAGGCGGCGCGGUAAGUCGGGUGUGAAAUCUCGGAGCUUAACUCAGAAUGGCCAAGUGAUACUGCAGUGCUAGAGUGUGGAAGGGGCAAUCGGAAUUCUUGGUGUAGCGGUGAAAUGCGUAGAUAUCAAGAGGAACACCUGAGGUGAAGACGGGUUGCUGGGCCAACACUGACGCUGAGGCGCGAAAGCCAGGGGAGCAAACGGG
rnacentral:rRNA from 1 species